GACGAACGCUGGCGGCGUGCUUAACACAUGCAAGUCGAACGGAAGGGCCCUGCGCUUGUUGGUCGCUCGAGUGGCGAACGGGUGAGUAACACGUGAGUAACCCGUCCUUGACUGUGGGAGAACUUCAGGAAAAUUGGGCGAAUACCGGAUAGGAGCUCCUGCUGCAUGGUGGGGGUUGGAAAGUUUCGGCGGUUGGGGAUGGACUCGCGGCGUAUCGGCUGGUUGGUGGGGUAAUGGCUUACCAAGGCUUUGACUGGUAGCCGACCGGAGAGGGUGACAGGCCACAUGGGGACUGGAACACGGACCAGAGGCCUGCGGGAGGCACCAGUAAGGAACGGGCCGCAAUGGACGGAAGUCUGGCGCAGCAACGCGGCGUCAGCGAAGAAGACGCUCGGGGCGUGAUGCCCGGUUGUUAGGGAAGAACAAGUAACGCAGGAAAUGGAGUGAGCGUGACGGUAACUAGCGAGAAAGCCACGGCUAACUACGUG
rnacentral:rRNA from 1 species